CAGUCGCCGCGGGAAUACAGAGGGUGCGAGCGUUAAUCGGAUUUACUGGGCGUAAAGCGUGCGUAGGCGGCUUCUUAAGUCGGAUGUGAAAUCCCUGAGCUUAACUUAGGAAUUGCAUUCAAUACUGGGAAGCUAGAGUAUGGGAGAGGAUGGUAGAAUUCCAGGUGUAGCGGUGAAAUGCGUAGAGAUCUGGAGGAAUACCGAUGGCGAAGGCAGCCAUCUGGCCUAAUACUGACGCUGAGGUACGAAAGCAUGGGGAGCAAACAGGAUUAGAUACCCCCGUAGUCCCUGUCUCUUAUAC
rnacentral:rRNA from 1 species